rnacentral:rRNA from 1 species
UACGUAGGGUGCAAGCGUUUGUCCGGAAUUAUUGGGCGUAAAGAGCUUGUAGGCGGUUUGUCGCGUCUGCUGUGAAAUUUCGGGGCUCAACCCCGAACUUGCAGUGGGUACGGGCAGACUAGAGUGUGGUAGGGGAGACUGGAAUUCCUGGUGUAGCGGUGAAAUGCGCAAAUAUCAGGAGGAACACCGAUGGCGAAGGCAGGUCUCUGGGCCAUAACUGACGCUGAGACGCGAAAGCGUGGGGAGCGAACAGG